rnacentral:rRNA from 1 species
GACGAACGCUGGCGGCGUGCUUAACACAUGCAGGUCGAACGGAAAGGCCCUGCUUUUGUGGGGUGCUCGAGUGGCGAACGGGUGAGUAACACGUGAGUAACCUGCCCUUGACUUUGGGAUAACUUCAGGAAACUGGGGCUAAUACCGGAUAGGAGCUCCUGCUGCAGGGUGGGGGUUGGAUAGUUUCGGCGGUUGGGGAUGGACUGCCGGCUUAUCAGUUGGUUGGUGGGGGAGUGGCUUACCAAGGGUUUGACCGGUAGCCGGCCUGGGAGGGUGGCCGGCGACAUGGGUACUGAGGGACGGCCAAGUGUCGUACGGUGGACAGCAGGGGGGAAUAUGGCCCAAUGGGCGGAAGCCUGAUGCAGAAACGCCGGGGUUGGGAUGACGGCCUUCGGGUUGUAAACCGCUUCAGCCUGUGACGAAGCGUGAGUGACGGUAAUGGGUAAAGAAGCACCGGCUAACUACGUG